rnacentral:rRNA from 1 species
GACGAACGCUGGCGGCGUGCUUAACACAUGCCAGUCGAACGGAAAGGCCCUGCUUUUGUGGGGUGCUCGAGUGGCGAACGGGUGAGUGACACGUGAGUAACCUGCCCUUGACUUUGGGAUAACUUCAGGAAACUGGGGCUAAUACCGGAUAGGAGCUCCUGCUGCAUGGUGGGGGUUGGAAAGUUUCGGCGGUUGGGGAUGGACUCGCGGCUUAUCAGCUUGUUGGUGGGGUAGUGGCUUACCAAGGCUUUGACGGGUAGCCGGCCUGAGAGGGUGACCGGACACAUUGGGACUGAGAUACGGACCAGACUCCUACGGGAGGGAGCAGUGGGGAAUAGUGCACAAUGGGCGGAAGCCUGAUGCAGCAACGCCGCGUGCGGGAUGACGGCCUUCGGGUUGUAAACCGCUUUCGCCUGUGACGAAGCGUGAGUGACGGUAAUGGGUAAAGAAGCACCGGCUAACUACGU